AGUGGGGAAUAUUGGACAAUGGGCGCAAGCCUGAUCCAGCAAUGCCGCGUGGGUGAAGAAGGCCUUCGGGUUGUAAAGCCCUUUUGUACGGGAAGAAAUCCUGUCGGUUAAUACCCGGCGGGGAUGACGGUACCGUAAGAAUAAGCACCGGCUAACUUCGUGCCAGCAGCCGCGGUAAUACGAAGGGUGCAAGCGUUAAUCGGAAUUACUGGGCGUAAAGCGUGCGUAGGCGGUUCGUUAAGUCUGUCGUGAAAGCCCUGGGCUCAACCUGGGAAUGGCGAUGGAUACUGGCGAGCUAGAGUGUGAUAGAGGAUGGCGGAAUUCCCGGUGUAGCGGUGAAAUGCGUAGAGAUCGGGAGGAACAUCCGUGGCGAAGGCGGCCAUCUGGAUCAACACUGACGCUGAGGCACGAAAGCGUGGGGAGCAAA
rnacentral:rRNA from 1 species